rnacentral:rRNA from 1 species
CUUUUGGGUGUGACUGCGUACCUUUUGUAUAAUGGGUCAGCGACUUAUAUUCUGUAGCAAGGUUAACCGAAUAGGGGAGCCGGAGGGAAACCGAGUCUUAAUUGGGCGUUAAGUUGCAGGGUAUAGACCCGAAACCCGGUGAUCUAGCCAUGGGCAGGUUGAAGGUUGGGUAACACUAACUGGAGGACCGAACCGACUAAUGUUGAAAAAUUAGCGGAUGACCUGUGGCUGGGGGUGAAAGGCCAAUCAAACCGGGAGAUAGCUGGUUCUCCCCGAAAGCUAUUUAGGUAGCGCCUCGUGAAUUCAUCUCCGGGGGUAGAGCACUGUUUCGGCUAGGGGGCCAUCCCGGCUUACCAACCCGAUGCAAACUGCGAAUACCGGAGAAUGUUAUCACGGGAGACACACGGCGGGUGCUAACGUCCGUCGUGAAGAGGGAAACAACCCAGACCGCCAGCUAAGGUCCCAAAGUCAUGGUUAAGUGGGAAACGAUGUGGGAAGGCCCAGACAGCCAGGAUGUUGGCUUAGAAGCAGCCAUCAUUUAAAGAAAGCGUAAUAGCUCACUGGUCGAGUCGGCCUGCGCGGAAGAUGUAACGGGGCUAAACCAUGCACCGAAGCUGCGGCAGCGACACUGUGUGUUGUUGGGUAGGGGAGCGUUCUGUAAGCCUGUGAAGGUGGCCUGUGAGGGUUGCUGGAGGUAUCAGAAGUGCGAAUGCUGACAUAAGUAACGAUAAAGCGGGUGAAAAGCCCGCUCGCCGGAAGACCAAGGGUUCCUGUCCAACGUUAAUCGGGGCAGGGUGAGUCGACCCCUAAGGCGAGGCCGAAAGGCGUAGUCGAUGGGAAACAGGUUAAUAUUCCUGUACUUGGUGUUACUGCGAAGGGGGGACGGAGAAGGCUAUGUUGGCCGGGCGACGGUUGUCCCGGUUUAAGCGUGUAGGUGUGUGUUCCAGGUAAAUCCGGUUCACUUUAACACUGAGGCGUGAUGACGAGGCACUACGGUGCUGAAGCAACAAAUGCCCUGCUUCCAGGAAAAGCCUCUAAGCAUCAGGUAACAUCAAAUCGUACCCCAAACCGACACAGGUGGUCAGGUAGAGAAUACCAAGGCGCUUGAGAGAACUCGGGUGAAGGAACUAGGCAAAAUGGUGCCGUAACUUCGGGAGAAGGCACGCUGACACGUAGGUGAAGUGAUUUACUCAUGGAGCUGAAGUCAGUCGAAGAUACCAGCUGGCUGCAACUGUUUAUUAAAAACACAGCACUGUGCAAACACGAAAGUGGACGUAUACGGUGUGACGCCUGCCCGGUGCCGGAAGGUUAAUUGAUGGGGUCAGCGCAAGCGAAGCUCCUGAUCGAAGCCCCGGUAAACGGCGGCCGUAACUAUAACGGUCCUAAGGUAGCGAAAUUCCUUGUCGGGUAAGUUCCGACCUGCACGAAUGGCGUAAUGAUGGCCAGGCUGUCUCCACCCGAGACUCAGUGAAAUUGAACUCGCUGUGAAGAUGCAGUGUACCCGCGGCAAGACGGAAAGACCCCGUGAACCUUUACUAUAGCUUGACACUGAACAUUGAGCCUUGAUGUGUAG